GCCGGGACCCCCGGACAGCCCCCGGACAGCUCCGGGCGCCGGCGGUGCCUCCCGGCGCGGGGCGCGAUCUCCCUCUAAAGCACAUGUUGAGCUUAACGACCAGAGCGGGCGAAAACGUGUGUUUCUGACGAGGGGCAGGAGGCUGUUCGGGUUCCUGGCGCUCGUCAGCUGCCCCCGGCUUUUAGGUGUCAGCUCGGCGGUGCUGCUGUGAGGGCCCAGCUCCUGCCCGGCCUGCUGCGUGCCGGUGGGCGAAGGGGAAGUUGCAGUCUGAGGGCGUUACGCCUUUUAACGCUGUGUGAGCAGCAGCGGCUCUCUGGUGCGGUUACUGCCGGGCUGACUGACAUCGUCCCUCCCUGUACAUCUCUACAGUGUCUGACCCGAGAUCGUGUUGUCGUAUAAAAAGCUGCCUUGCCACCCUACCCACAUCUUCCUUCACAGCAAGGUCACGCUUGAAAACUAGACCUGUGUUCCAUAGCUUCCAAUGCUGCCAGUGAGGGAUGGUCUGACUGAGCAGAGCUGGGCUGUGGCCACCAGUGUCCCCUGGCUCUCCCAGUUCACCAUGUCCCAGCCCAGUGGGUGCAUGCCUUGUGCUCCUUGUCAUUAUCAGCUCACAAAGAGCGCUUGUCAUCACUACUGGCAGUGUCAUAUUGCUUUUGGUCUCCAUUAAUUGACUUUUAUCAUUACUCAAAAUGAAGGGGGCUAUUAAUUAUUUCAGCAGGCAGCCAUUCCUCCACAGCAACCUCAGCAAAGCCAAGGCAAGGAGCUGGCAGCCAGCACAGCCCUCAGGGUUGAUGCUGAGGCUGGGGUCUGCAGGCCGGCCUGGGUUGUAGGGAGCAGCCCCGUCCCUGCUGAGCACCCCCAGGCUCCGCCUGUCUUCUGCAUGGAGUGGGAGGGCAGGAUUUCCAUCGUGUCUGUGUGCCACUCCUCUAUACAGCUUUGAAUGGCGCUUUACAAAAUAGGUAAUGAUGUCUCAUUGCUCUGGAGAGUUCCCAAACUAAAUUAAGGAGAGAAGAAUGGGAAGAGAUGACCAUCCAAUGAGGUGCAGGUGCUGGGGAGCGGGAUAAGGAGGGGGAGGGCAAUGUGAUUAUGUCCUUUCAAAGCAAAUGCCUCAGGGCAGCCACUUUUGGGGACAGUGUAAAAGGGAGAUGGAGAAAGGCGUGACUCAUAGAGACAGCAUCUGCGCAGGGUUGCUCCUGAGAGCAGAACGCUUCUCUCAGACCUGUUCAAGGAGACAGAUGCUCGGUAGCUCCCUGUGACUUAGCACUACUAACCCCUUCCUCCUCCCUUCCCAAAGGGGUCCUGUGGAAGAAAAAGCUGAGAAGUGCUGGAGGAGGGGUUCCUGAUGGGUGACUUCAGAGGGCCUCUGGGAAAGGAAAGGUGGCGGAGCAGCUGGGAUGGCCGCAGGAGGAUACUUGUGUCACCUGAGAACUGUGCAGACUUUCCAUUAUUGGAGGAUAUUAAAGGCAGCUGAGCGAAUUGGCUUGACCCCUUAUUGGAUAUCCAGGAUCAAUGGAAAUCAGAGAAAGUGAGUUGCAUAUGGAAUGAGCCCGUUCCCCAGAGGCCAGGCCCUCUGUCUUGCCAUGGAUGCUGGAAGGAAGCCGUGACAGAGCAAAGCAGAAGCCGUCAGGGAAAGAAGAGGAAGCAUUUUUUAAACCCAUUACCCCUUGUCCUGACAGGACAACAUGUGACAGGACAACAUUCUACCUACAUGUGAAAAGUUGGUCCCCUUGCUGCUUGUGAACUCCUUUCAAGUACUGGAAGAUCACAAUGAGGUCUCCCUGGAGCCUUUUCUUCACCUGCUGGAGGUGACUUCUGAGUGAGCACGUUAACUGUUGGUCAAGAACCUUUCCAAAAUUGUAGUUGAGCUUCCUUUACAGAGAAAAACUAAGGAUGUUUAAAUUGGUGCAGAAGAGGCCCAUGUCACAGAGGUGGCAAACACAUGGUGCUGAAGGUGCAGCUGAGGAGUUUGAGCUGGGCAGCUGCAGCAUGGAGGAAGUGCUGCUUUCUGAGUUGCACAGCUAACACUUGGAUGACUUUGGGUUCUUCUAAGUCCUCCCAUGAGUGACUGUUUUCUGCGACUCAGCUCCCAUAUCUGCUAGGAGAACAGCAGUGUGUUUGUCAACCCACAGGAGUGAAAGAGUCAGCUCUGCUAAAUGCUGCAACCUCUUUGGCUGGACAGUGUUGUGGACAGUGUCUCUUCAGUUGAGGGAGAAUUUUGCAGUGGCUACUUCAAGAUUCACACCAGAGGACCCGAGAGCAGCAGGCUCAACCAUGCAGGUGCCAAUGGGAGGCACAGCAAGAAUAGAGGCUUGAUGAAUGCAUAAACCAAGGUGAGGCUGUAAAAGGCAAUUUUCCCAUUGACAGAAUACUUCAGCAGCACUUCGCAGAUAGCCUGUUGGACAAAGUACAUUGUAAACGGGUAAGAAGGAAGGAAAAGUGAAUAUGCAUCCACUGGGGAAGAUAGCAGUAGAAGUUGAGGGAACUGCUAUUUUAUAAAGAAAGUUUUGAAGAUAUAAGUAUUAUACACAAAAUGACACAAGAUAUGAUGCGCAAGCCCACGUAUCGUUUCAUUUACAAAUCAAUCCUGCAUGCUAAUUAGGUGUGGUAAUAUCAUUUUUUUCCUGAUUAAUAGGGCAUUUUCCCUUUUUUCUGAAGACAGCACUUCCAAAAAAAAAAAAAAGGCAAACAAAAAAAGCCACCUGUCCCUCAUUCUCCUUAUUGCAGCGUGUAUUCUAGGAUUUGGAGAACUUGUUUCUCCACCCAGGGAGCACAGCUCAGUGCCAGGCUCAGGCUGCUGACUUAGCUUUUCCCCAGUGAGCACUGCAGCCUUUUUGCCUCUUCCUUCCAUCCCAAGUGGCAAACUAAUCUGGCUUUUUCUCCUGCUGGCUGGGAAGAAAGAAAGCAAUUGAAGGAGUGUUGUUUCUAUGCUGAAAUACUUGGGAAUGGUUGACUUAUUAUGGGAUGGGAGGGCCAUAAGAGUGCACGGAUAGAAGAGGAUAAUUAAAUUGAUGUGAGGGUGAUUCCUGCAGCUUGCUAUUUCUGAAUUUGAAAGCACACCUUUAUCUUUACAUCUGUUCUGGGAGCUCCAUGGUUUAUUUGUCUUUGGUGUGAACUUAUUUCUGCCUGUUAUCAAGUACAUGCUCCCAAGCCCAGCAAAUGAGGUGGCAUGGUAUGGUCUCUCCACUGCUUUGGGCAGACAUUCAUGUUUGUGGAAAGCACCUCUCUGUGCUGCCAAAUCAGACUGUGCCAUUCAUGUUAGCAUUUCUGGCUGGAAUACAAGCACCACCUAGUUUUUCAUUCUGCAGGUGAGAUUCAGGAGCAGGAAUCACAGCUGGGCUGCUGCUCCAUACCCAGAAUGGCAUGCCAUUAUGUUUUUCAUCUUCUUCCUUUGAGCUGGGUGAGAAGUGCUUCAACUCUUUGUGAGCUUCUGUUCAACCAUUACCACACCUGGCUUAGCGGGUAUGAGUUAGAGUCUCUCCUGCUUUCUUUGGGGGUGCAAGCUCAGUAGGGAGCCACUGAUAAAGUGGUGCAAUUCUCCUUACAAGAUAGGAACUUCUGAGGGUUACUGCUCAUGGGCUGUCUUGCUCGCAUUUUUACAGCACCUGAUGUUGUCAUAGCUGAUAGAUUGAUUAUUCAGUGGUUGAACAUAGACAAAUUAUUUUACUGUAUGACUGUUUGAUCUAGGAGAUAGCAGAGUCCUGAAUUUCCACCUAAUACACUUUUAUCUCAUCCUGAGUCUGCUGCUAGAGGUGGCUUUGCCAGCAGAGGCACAGUGUGGUGGUCUUCUCUAGUGAUGGAGUUUUGAUGCACUGUGCCAGGGUCCCAGGUUAGGAGCGCUGGCACAGAAGAGGGUAAUGCUCCAUUUUUCUGCAUGCAUUAUGCCUAUUUUCACCAGCCAAGAAGGUGUAGUGAGCAAAACUGUUAGAAAAACAAAAUAUAUUCAUCAAUAGUUUAUGCAUCACUGGUGAAUGAAUUAUUUGUAAGCACCAGUGCACUGUUCUCCAUAGAAGAGCUAUAAAACCCUGGCUUGACUUACCAAGCCCUGGCCAAGCCUUCCUUGCUCGUUUACACACUCUCUAUAGCGUUUCCUUUUUCCAUUGCUUUAUUCAUAAGAUGGUGAUUUUUAUCGCUCUCUACUCAGUAAUAAUGUGGUUCCUAUCCUCCUUGCUAGAAGAAAUUUCUUAUUCUUUUUAUUACAUAUAAUCAUUCUUUCCUUAAUUUAUAGCAUGUCAUGUAUUAUUCAGUGACAUCUCUUGGCUCUGAUUACAGGUUCUAUAUAAUCUUACAAACUUCAAAAAUGAUUGUUUAAAUUACAAUAAAAUAAUAUCCAGCUCAUUUAUCUGGUGAAUUUGUCUUUCAUUUGCAGUUAUCGGGGCCAAUGUUUUUUACAAAAGAACUUUUGUCAGGAUCCUUGCAGAGGGGUGGAGCUGAUGUGCUGGGAUUCCUUGAGAAAGAGCUCAGGGGAGCCCCACCUGCCUCAGGAGAUGGAUUUUGAGGUUGAGAGAGAAAUGGCACACGAUUUGUUAGUGACUUGUAGCCCAAGCCAGAGUGUGCUGAAAUCAGUGGGAGCAAUGCCAAUUGAUGACAAACUGUGUCUCAGCACGUUAAAAUGCUUCUGAAGUUGGAGAGCUGACUGAAGCUUUCUUGUCCUCCUUACCACCUGCAGGCUCACCCAGAGCUUCUCCUAAGGGACAUGUGAACUGUGAAGUCUUCUGUAGAACCCCUGUGCCUCUGUCCCUCUGCUCUCCUCUGGUAACCUGCACCAGCAACAGUCAGUGGUUUGGUCUGAGACAGGAGGAAGACUCCUACAGGAGGGUGCUGUAGGACUGCGUGCAGCUGAUGGAUGCGAUGGGUCUAAUCUGGCUACCCCUUUAGUUCCCUGGUUCUUAUGGAGUAAUGCAAAAAGUAUGUAUAAAUGCACCUUAUUACCAACCCAAAUAUGUUUUCUUCUUGCUCCUUCAGUCUACCUCCACUUCAGAAAACCCGGUGGAUAUUUCUAUAGCUGGUACAGCUCAUAUGCUUGCUUUUAUGUUUGGCAGAAGCCAUUUCACAGGGAAGUCACUCCUUUGUGCUUCAGCCUUCGCACCAGCCCUGGGAUUUAUUUUGUCUAACUUCAUCUUCUCAAGCUAAUGGUAUGUCUAGGUCCUGACAUCUUGUAUCUUGGGCCCAUUUCUAAUGCAUACUGUAGAUGUCCCUGGAAAACACAGUGAUACUUACAAGGAGUUACUUCAGUUUGCUGCAAAGAUACUGCUGCUGUGUAGUUUCCGUCUAGGUGUCCAGAUUUUUCAACUUCAGCUUUCUCAUUUUUGAGGGAACAGGAAGGUGCCUGGAUAUCCACAUCUAGUCCGGACCCCUUGGCUCAUUCUUUUUGCACUCACUUGGGUUAGUGUGGGGUGAGCUGCAGUAAGCGGCUCAUCCCCAGCUGGCAUUCCCAGGAUGGGCCUGAAACCAGUGCUAAAAGGAAUUUGGUCCCUAUUUGUCAAACUGCCCACUGGAAGCUGGAAGAAAAAAGCAAACAACCACACUUCCCACCCCACUCACACAGAGAGUUCCUACAAGUUCUUUUAUCAAAUAAGAACGGGAGUUUUUCUGUUACUGCUUUUUUGAGGAUUCUUGAUUGAAAAUCUGCAGUACCUACUCUUCUCUGGUUAAGAUCCAGCACUGCAGAAACUCAUUUUCAACUAUAGUUCAGCUGAAAAGUUUAAAGACUGCAGACGGGAGUUGGAGCAGUCUCUGGGUGCUGAUUCUUGUCAAGUUUAUAGAUGUAUUCCUAAGCAAGUCGUUUCUGUUCUCUGCAGGAUGUUGCUUCUAUCUCUAAGGGCUAGGUUAUGUAAAAAUAAUGGCAGAAGCUGCCUUAGCCUGGCAAAAACUAGGAAUCAAUGAAACACCGCCUUUUCAAUCAAUCCUCUUCUCUAAUUAGUGCUGCAUGGUGGAACUAUCUUUUAAUAAUAAUAAAAAGAGUAAUUUAGUUGAUGAUUGAUGGGAGAAAAUCUGCAUAUGUUAUUAAAAGCACCAAUCAGCCGUG